GUGCUUACCUGGCAAGGGAGAUACCUGACCAGGAAGGUGGUUUUCCAGGGCAAGGCUCACCCGUUGUUCUCAUGUGCCUAUGCCUGCGAUUUCUCCACGUUCAAGAGUUUCAGCUGCGCUGCUUGUGGUAGUAAGGGCUGCAUUCACACUCUCCUUC